rnacentral:rRNA from 1 species
AUUGAACGCUGGCGGCAUGCCUUACACAUGCAAGUCGAACGGCAGCACGGGUGCUUGCACCUGGUGGCGAGUGGCGAACGGGUGAGUAAUACAUCGGAACGUACCUUAUCGUGGGGGAUAACGCAGCGAAAGCUGUGCUAAUACCGCAUACGCCCUGAGGGGGAAAGCGGGGGAUCGAAAGACCUCGCGCGAUUAGAGCGGCCGAUGCCUGAUUAGCUUGUUGGUGGGGUAAAAGCCCACCAAGGCGACGAUCAGUAGCUGGUCUGAGAGGACGAUAAGCCACACUGGGACUGAGACACGGCCCAGACUCCUACGGGAGGCAGCAGUGGGGAAUUUUAGACAAUGGGGGCAACCCUGAUCCAGCAAUGCCGCGUGAGUGAAGAAGGCCUUCGGAUUGUAAAGCUCUUUUGUCAGGGAAGAAACACCGGCUCUAACACAGUCCGGGAAUGACGGUACCUGAAGAAUAAGCACCGGCUAACUACGUGCCAGCAGCCGCGGUAA